GUGGAGGGUGAGGCAACUGCAGGGAGGCUCUCCUGUGGCCAUUUUCCAGGUUCUCUUUCCUGAAUCGGGUCCUUGAGUCCCCCUGGUGGCGUUCCUGAUGCAGAUGCCUCCUGUUAGACUACCGUUUAGGGAGCAUAGGUGCCCAUUCUGGCCUGGUCCCUAACUGCUGUCCCUAACGGGGUUCACGCAGACUGACCCUGCCGUGGGCCCGGACGCCACCGCCCCAGCACCCUGCGGAUGGCGGCGGUGAUCUCGCGGUUGCGCAGGCUGUAGAUGAGCGGGUAGAGCAGCGGCGUGACGUUGGUAUAGACCAGCGCCAGCGUGCGGUCCCGCCGUGGGGUGUAGCUGGCCUUCGGCCGCACAUACAUGAAGGUGGCGCAGCCGUAGUGCAGGAAGGUGACGGUCAGGUGCGAGGCACAGGUGGAGGCGGCCUUGCGCCGGCCAUCGGGCGAGUGCAGGCGGCGCAGGGCAGCGGCGAUGGCGCCAUAGGAGGCCAGGAUGAGCAUCAAGGGCAGCAGCAGCAGCAGCACGCAGCUGCCCAGCAGCGGCAGCUCGUCCGCGUAGCUCCGUGUGCAGGCCAGGUGCAGCAGCGCCGUGAUGUCGCAGAAGAAAUGCACCAGCAGGCGGGAGCCGCAGAACGGCAGGUGGAAGACCGCCGCCGUGAUCCCCACGGACACCAACAGUCCUCCGAGGCAGCAGGCCACGGCCAGUCGCGCGCAUAGCCCGGGGGUCACCAUGGCCGCGUAGCGCAGCGGGUGGCAGAUGGCCACGUAGCGGUCAUAGGCCAUGGCGGCCAGCAGGAAGCACUCGGCCCCGCCCAGCGCCACGAACAUCUGCAUCUGAACGGCGCAGCCCAGGAACGAGAUGGGGCUGCCCCUGCCGAGGCUGGGCGAAGCCAGGUCGGCCAGCGAGCGGGGCACGACCACCAGCGUGUAGCAGAGCUCGAUGGAUGACAGCUGGCACAGGAAGAGCAGCAUGGGCGGCCGUCUGGGAACCGAGGCCACGGCCACCAGGAUGAGCAGGUUCCCACUCAGGGUGGCCAGGUGCACUGCCAGCAGCAGCAGGAAGAGCGCCAGCCUCAGGUUUCCUAUUGCCUUUCUAAGACUGUACAGACUAUGGAAGAAGACAUCUGUGGAUUCAAAUCCUGGCUCAACCAUUUACUUACAUUACCUCUGGGUGAAUGUACUCAAUUUCCCCGAUCCUCAGUCUCUUCUGAAUGGCGAUGAUGGUAUCUAAUUCGUCGGGUUGUUGUGAGAAGUGGGCACACGACAAAGGAAGCCCACACACAGUGCCAGGCAGAAAGUAGGCAACGAGAGGUGGUUGUGAAUCGUAUUAUGUGAGGAAAGAGUGAAGAUAGGGCAUAUAUAAAAUGGAGUCACUUUAACCUCGCCUAAAAUUAUUACCACUAUGACGGUUGAGGUCUGAGGAAAGACUCUAUUCUUGUUCUAACUAGUCUGGGAACUUCAAUUUUUUGAACUUUCCAGUCCUUUAUCAAUGCCCGGAUAUACACCUGGACAUAUACCAGACCUCCAGAUAACCCUCUGAAGCACUCAUGUAUCCAGACCACUGGACAUGACCAGACCUCCUGGCACCCAUCCUCUAGACCACCUGGCAUCCAUCAUCUAGACUGCCUGACAUCUGAUUGAUAACCAUCCUGGACCAAUCCUAGGGCUAAGACUGAUAAUUCUCACGGAUGCACUUUCUACUAUAAGAACUCAACUUUUCUUUUUUCUUCAGAACACUGUUGGGUUUUUGCCUAGCUGUGUGUCCACUUUGCAAACCCUAAGACCUUUGAAUAAAUCUUUAUCACUGUUUCUAGCCAAAGCCUUCAGACUCUUUUUGAGUUCCUUCGACAUAUAACCCAACUUCUACAAUGUCGUUGCAGAGCUUUGGGCUCUGUCUGCAUAGCAUCUGACUGUUAUAAUUACUAUAAUGACUCUUUUUCCUGUGGUUUAUGACAGCCUUUCCCUUGGUUUAUGAC
rnacentral:lncRNA from 1 species